GGCCCCAUCGUCUAGCCUGGUCUAGGACAUUUGCUUCUCAAGCAAGUAACACCAGUUCAAAUCUGGUUGGGGCCG
rnacentral:tRNA from 1 species